GAGUCCCAAAUUCUUCCAAAAUGAAAACCUAAAGCCGACUAUUAGCCAGUGAAUGAAGUGUGAAGAUGGAGAGGCAGCAGCGGGGCACUUCACAGAAACCCCCUCCACUGCCGACGAGUGUUUUGGAGGUGUAACUGCAGAAUGACACAGACACACCACAGCACAAGUAUAAAUGCUCACAAAAGCAAAGGCCACGUGCGUAGGCUACGGCAUAGGCUCUGCAUUGAAGUCAUGAAGGCCUGGAGAUUCCCUUGUGAAGCUUUGGCGGGCCCUGGUGGGGGUUGGGACCCCAGGUUGGGAACUGGUGACUUACAUGAUGAAGAAUUAUCUCUGAAUGAGCCAAAUCAAUGUUGAUGCACAACUUGUGACAAGUGACACUGCAGUACAUUACUAACAUGAUAUGGAGACACAGCAUGUCACCAGAACAAAAUCACAACUGCAUUCUUCCUGAACUACCAUUAAAAACUGAUAAGUGAAACUACUGUCUUUGAAUGGAGUAGGAAGGAAUAAAAAGAGGACAAUCUAAGGAGUAGAAAUGGGGUUUAUUUGUCUUGUUAAAACAACAGAAGAAGAGUCACCACACUGUGACUUGGUGGUGUUAGUGAAGUGGUUGUUACAGUUAAAACAGAUUAGCGGCUGCUUCAUGUGGUCGGCUUUUUUCACGCACGGUUACACUUGAAUUCAUUUUAAAACUGAAACCAUUUCAGUGUGCAAAAAUAGAAACUAUGUCUCACGUUUGGGGCCAAAUUUGGGUUCUUCAUAAAAUGGGAUUUACACUGGGAUAUGCAUUAUCAAAAUGGGACUGUUUUUUUUCUAGUAAUAGAAAAAUAUUCAAACUAAAAAGUGGAAUGUUACAUUUAACUGAGCCGACACGUCUUUAUGUGUCCAACACACAAAUGU